rnacentral:rRNA from 1 species
UACGUAGGGGGCUAGCGUUGUCCGGAAUCAUUGGGCGUAAAGCGCGUGUAGGCGGUCCGGUAAGUCCGCUGUGAAAGUCGGGGGCUCAACCCUCGAAUGCCGGUGGAUACUGUCGGGCUAGAGUGCGGAAGAGGCGAGUGGAAUUCCUGGUGUAGCGGUAAAAUGCGCAGAUAUCAGGAGGAACACCAAUUGCGAAGGCAGCUCGCUGGGACGUUACUGACGCUGAGACGCGAAAGCGUGGGGAGCAAACAGG